GACGAACGCUGGCGGCGUGCCUAAUACAUGCAAGUAGAACGCUGAAGAGAGGAGCUUGCUCUUCUUGGAUGAGUUGCGAACGGGUGAGUAACGCGUAGGUAACCUGCCUGGUAGCGGGGGAUAACUAUUGGAAACGAUAGCUAAUACCGCAUAAAAUGGAUUAUCGCAUGAUAAUCCAUUGAAAGGUGCAACUGCAUCACUACCAGAUGGACCUGCGUUGUAUUAGCUAGUUGGUGGGGUAACGGCUCACCAAGGCGACGAUACAUAGCCGACCUGAGAGGGUGAUCGGCCACACUGGGACUGAGACACGGCCCAGACUCCUACGGGAGGCAGCAGUAGGGAAUCUUCGGCAAUGGACGGAAGUCUGACCGAGCAAUGCCGCGUGAGUGAAGAAGGUUUUCGGAUCGUAAAGCUCUGUUGUAAGAGAAGAACGAGUGUGAGAGUGGAAAGUUCACACUGUGACGGUAGCUUACCAGAAAGGGACGGCUAACUACGUG
rnacentral:rRNA from 1 species